GACGAACGCUGGCGGCGUGCUUAACACAUGCAAGUCGAACGGAAAGGCCCUGCUUUUGUGGGGUGCUCGAGUGGCGAACGGGUGAGUAACACGUGAGUAACCUGCCCUUGACUUUGGGAUAACUUCAGGAAACUGGGGCUAAUACCGGAUAGGAGCUCCUGCUGCAUGGUGGGGGUUGGAAAGUUUCGGCGGUUGGGGAUGGACUCGCGGCUUAUCAGCUUGUUGGUGGGGUAGUGGCUUACCAAGGCUUUGACGGGUAGCCGGCCUGAGAGGGUGACCGGCCACAUGGGGACGGAGAAACGGCCCAGACCCCUACGGGGGGCAGGAGGGGGGAAUUUUGCAAAAGGGGCGGAAGCCUGAGGCAGAAACCCCGGGGGGGGGAUGACGGCCUUCGGGUUGGAAACCGCUUUCGCCUGUGACGAAGCGGGAGUGACGGUAAUGGGUAAAGAAGCACCGGCAAACUACGU
rnacentral:rRNA from 1 species